rnacentral:rRNA from 1 species
UACGGGGGGGGCAAGCGUUGUUCGGAAUUACUGGGCGUAAAGGGCCAGUAGGCGGCCAACUAAGUCCGACGUGAAAUCCCCAGGCUUAACCUGGGAACUGCGUCGGAUACUGGAUGGCUUGAAUUCGGGAGAGGGAUGCAGAAUUCCAGGUGUAGCGGUGAAAUGCGUAGAUAUCUGGAGGAAUACCAAUGGCGAAGGCAGCUCGCUGGGACGGUACUGACGCUGAGGCGCGAAAGCGUGGGGAGCAAACAGG